UCGGGAAUAUUGGACAAUGGGCGCAAGCCUGAUCCAGCCAUGCCGCGUGAGUGACGAAGGCCUUAGGGUUGUAAAGCUCUUUCGCACGCGACGAUGAUGACGGUAGCGUGAGAAGAAGCCCCGGCUAACUUCGUGCCAGCAGCCGCGGUAAUACGAAGGGGGCAAGCGUUGUUCGGAAUUACUGGGCGUAAAGGGCGCGUAGGCGGCCGGUCAAGUCAGGCGUGAAAGCCCCGGGCUCAACCUGGGAACUGCGCUUGAGACUGAUCGGCUCGAGUUCGGGAGAGGCGAGUGGAAUUCCCAGUGUAGAGGUGAAAUUCGUAGAUAUUGGGAAGAACACCAGUGGCGAAGGCGGCUCGCUGGACCGACACUGACGCUGAGGCGCGAAAGCGUGGGGAGCAAACAGGAUUAGAUACCCCCGUAGUCC
rnacentral:rRNA from 1 species